rnacentral:lncRNA from 1 species
UGACCCCUUGUAGCUGCUGGCCCUCCCUUGACCCCUUUGGAUGAGUGAGGGGGCUCAGCUGGACCCUAUGACCUUGCUUCACGUUGAGCAUGGAGUUUUCCAAGGAUCUGUCACUAGUGUGCUGUCUGAACAGCCAUCGCUGCUGACACCUAAAACCUCUUCUAAGAAACACUCGAGAGGAAACGUGAGGUGGAGGAAAAUGA